GUUUAUAUAGUUUAGAAAAACAUUACAUUUUCAUUGUAAAGUCAGAAAUUUUUUCUUAUAAAUU
rnacentral:tRNA from 1 species